AGAGUUUGAUCCUGGCUCAGGACGAACGCUGGCGGCGUGCUUAACACAUGCAAGUCGAACGGAAAGGCCCUGCUUUUGUGGGGUGCUCGAGUGGCGAACGGGUGAGUAACACGUGAGUAACCUGCCCUUGACUUUGGGAUAACUUCAGGAAACUGGGGCUAAUACCGGAUAGGAGCUCCUGCUGCAUGGUGGGGGUUGGAAAGUUUCGGCGGUUGGGGAUGGACUCGCGGCUUAUCAGCUUGUUGGUGGGGUAGUGGCUUACCAAGGCUUUGACGGGUAGCCGGCCUGAGAGGGUGACCGGCCACAUUGGGACUGAGAUACGGCCCAGACUCCUACGGGAGGCAGCAGUGGGGAAUAUUGCACAAUGGGCGGAAGCCUGAUGCAGCAACGCCGCGUGCGGGAUGACGGCCUUCGGGUUGUAAACCGCUUUCGCCUGUGACGAAGCGUGAGUGACGGUAAUGGGUAAAGAAGCACCGGCUAACUACGUGCCAGCAGCCGCGGUGAUACGUAGGGUGCGAGCGUUGUCCGGAUUUAUUGGGCGUAAAGGGCUCGUAGGUGGUUGAUCGCGUCGGAAGUGUAAUCUUGGGGCUUAACCCUGAGCGUGCUUUCGAUACGGGUUGACUUGAGGAAGGUAGGGGAGAAUGGAAUUCCUGGUGGAGCGGUGGAAUGCGCAGAUAUCAGGAGGAACACCAGUGGCGAAGGCGGUUCUCUGGGCCUUUCCUGACGCUGAGGAGCGAAAGCGUGGGGAGCGAACAGGCUUAGAUACCCUGGUAGUCCACGCUGUAAACGGUGGGUACUAGGUGUGGGGUCCAUUCCACGGGUUCCGUGCCGUAGCUAACGCUUUAAGUACCCCGCCUGGGGAGUACGGCCGCAAGGCUAAAACUCAAAGGAAUUGACGGGGCCCCGCACAAGCGGCGGAGCAUGCGGAUUAAUUCGAUGCAACGCGUAGAACCUUACCUGGGUUUGACAUGGAUCGGGAGUGCUCAGAGAUGGGUGUGCCUCUUUUGGGGUCGGUUCACAGGUGGUGCAUGGCUGUCGUCAGCUCGUG
rnacentral:rRNA from 1 species